GUAGUAUUUUGUAUUAAAAAAAAAAUAUAUAUUUUAAUUUAGGAGUAGGACCACUAUACUCUUAUAAGUAUAGAUUUUUUUAUACUCAUAAAUUUUCAGCCGUUUAAUGAAAGAAUGCGUGGUUAGAAUGAUAGUAGUUUUUCGUUACAAUCAUACUGAUUCUAGAUUGAUUAGAUGGUUGGUUGAGUAAUAUAAUUUAACGGAUAAAAAUGAUCAAAAGAAUAAAUUUAACGAUAGAAAAUUUAUAAAUAUAAAAAAAAAUCUAUAUUCAUAUAUGAGUACAAUAAUUGGACUCUUAAUUUAGACUACAAUUUAAAUUUUAGAAGUAAUU
rnacentral:lncRNA from 1 species